rnacentral:rRNA from 1 species
UCGCCUACGGGGCGCAGCAGUGGGGAAUAUUGCACAAUGGGGGAAACCCUGAUGCAGCGACGCCGCGUGAGUGAAGAAGUAUUUCGGUACGUAAAGCUCUAUCAGCAGGGAAGAAAUAAAGUCCUUCGGACUUUGGACGGUACCUGACUAAGAAGCCCCGGCUAACUACGUGCCAGCAGCCGCGGUAAUACGUAGGGGGCAAGCGUUAUCCGGAUUUACUGGGUGUAAAGGGAGCGUAGACGGUGAGACAAGUCUGAAGUGAAAGCCCGGGGCUCAACCCCGGGACUGCUUUGGAAACUGCCUGA